rnacentral:lncRNA from 1 species
GGAUGAAUAAUGGGAUCUGGGGUUUUUUAAAUGGGAACUGGGCGAUCUGGGCUUUUUUUUAAAUGGGAACGGGUGAUGGUGGAUGGCGGCGGCGAGAACCGAUUGCAGUGAUGCAGGACAGAAACGGUGUAGCAAGGAUGGCGAUGGAGCAGCGGGCAUGCAAUCUUAGGUCAAUCGGAUCUAGGUGAUGGGUUGGCGCGGGAGAUUCAAGCAGGUUGCGAGACUGGUUCGAGGUGUUGGACAGAACGGCGGCAGAUCGGUGGCUGGUGGUCUGAUGCUUGAUGGUGGUGCAGUGGUGUAGUUCAGAGGUGGGUCGAUCUGGUAGUGGACAGGUUGGUGCGGGUCGAUCUGGUAGGGGAUUAAUGGGAUUUGGGGUUUGAAUAAUGGGAACUGGGUUUUUGCAGCGAGGGGGGGUGGUAAUGGAUCGGGGUUUCAGUGGUGUUUUUUUUUUUUUGGUUCAAGGUU